AGAGUUUGAUCCUGGCUCAGAUUGAACGCUGGCGGCACGCUUUACACAUGCAAGUCGAACGGCAGCACGGGUGCUUGCACCUGGUGGCGAGUGGCGAACGGGUGAGUAAUGCACCGGAACGUACCCAGUAAUGGGGGAUAACACAUCGAAAGAUGUGCUAAUACCGCAUACGCCCUGAGGGGGAAAGCGGGGGAUCGUAAGACCUCGCGUUAUUGGAGCGGCCGAUGCCGGAUUAGCUAGUUGGUGAGGUAAGAGCUCACCAAGGCGACGAUCCGUAGCUGGUCUGAGAGGACGACCAGCCACACUGGGACUGAGACACGGCCCAGACUCCUACGGGAGGCAGCAGUGGGGAAUUUUGGACAAUGGGCGCAAGCCUGAUCCAGCCAUGCCGCGUGAGUGAAGAAGGCCUUCGGGUUGUAAAGCUCUUUCGCAAGGAAAGAAAACUUAUCUACUAA
rnacentral:rRNA from 1 species